rnacentral:rRNA from 1 species
AUUGAACGCUGGCGGCAGGCUUAACACAUGCAAGUCGAGCGGGGAAGGGUAGCUUGCUACCUAACCUAGCGGCGGACGGGUGAGUAAUGCUUAGGAAUCUGCCUAUUAGUGGGGGACAACAUCUCGAAAGGGAUGCUAAUACCGCAUACGUCCUACGGGAUAAAGCAGGGGACCUUCGGGCCUUGCGCUAAUAGAUGAGCCUAAGUCGGAUUAGCUAGUUGGUGGGGUAAAGGCCUACCAAGGCGACGAUCUGUAGCGGGUCUGAGAGGAUGAUCCGCCACACUGGGACUGCGACACGGCCCAGACUCCUACGGGAGGCAGCAGUGGGGAAUAUUGGACAAUGGGGGGAACCCUGAUCCAGCCAUGCCGCGUGUGUGAAGAAGGCCUUUUGGUUGUAAAGCACUUUAAGCGAGGAGGAGGCUACUGGUAUUAAUACUACCGGAUAGUGGACGUUACUCGCAGAAUAAGCACCGGCUAACUCUGUGCCAGCCGCCGCCGUAACAC